rnacentral:rRNA from 1 species
AUUGAACGCUGGCGGCAUGCUUUACACAUGCAAGUCGAACGGUAACAGGCCGCAAGGUGCUGACGAGUGGCGAACGGGUGAGUAAAGCAUCGGAACGUACCCAGUCGUGGGGGAUAACGUAGCGAAAGUUACGCUAAUACCGCAUACGUCCUGAGGGAGAAGGCGGGGGAUCGCAAGACCCCGCGCGAUUGGAGCGGCCGAUGUCGGAUUAGCUAGUUGGUGAGGUAAAGGCUCACCAAGGCGACGAUCCGUAGCUGGUCUGAGAGGACGACCAGCCACACUGGAACUGAGACACGGUCCAGACUCCUACGGGAGGCAGCAGUGGGGAAUUUUGGACAAUGGGCGAAAGCCUGAUCCAGCCAUGCCGCGUGAGUGAAGAAGGCCUUCGGGUUGUAAAGCUCUUUCGGCCGGGAAGAAAUCGUGUGGGCUAAUACCCUGCAUGGAUGACGGUACCGGAAUAAGAAGCACCGGCUAACUACGUGCCAGCCGCCGCGGUAAAAC